rnacentral:rRNA from 1 species
AUUGAACGCUGGCGGCAGGCCUAACACAUGCAAGUCGAGCGGAGCGGCGGACGGGUGAGUAAUGCCUAGGAAUCUGCCUGGUCGUGGGGGAUAACGUCCGGAAACGGGCGCUAAUACCUCAUACUAUCAGAUGAGCCUAGGUCGGAUUAGCUAGUGGGGGGGGUAACGGCUCACCAAGGCGACGAUCCCUAGCUGGUCUGAGAGGAUGACCAGCCACACUGGAAAUGAGACACGGGCCAGACUCCUACGGUAGGAAGCAGUGGGGAAUAUUGCAAAAGGGGCGCAAGCCUGAUGCAGCCAUGCCGCGUGUAUGAAGAAGGCCUUCGGGUUGGAAAGUACUUUCAGCGGGGAGGCGUUACCCGCAGAAGAAGCACCGGCUAACUCCGUGCCAGCAGCCGCGGUAAUAC